rfam:Hordeum vulgare subsp. vulgare, WGS project CAJW01000000 data, contig: morex_contig_158403
AACAUACUCCCUCGGUCCCACAAUUCUUAUCUUAGAUUUGUCUACAAAUGAAUGUAUCUAAAUACUAAAACGUGACUAGAUACAUUUAUAUCUACACAAAUUUAGGGCAAAUUUUUUGAGACGGAGGGAUUAUGUA